rnacentral:rRNA from 1 species
GAUGAACGCUAGCGGCAGGCCUAAUACAUGCAAGUCGGACGGGAUUCAGGAGCUUGCUUCUGAUGAGAGUGGCGCACGGGUGCGUAACACGUAUGUAACCUACCUUUAUCAGGGGGAUAGCCUCUCGAAAGAGAGAUUAAGCCCGCAUAAAAUCACAGCACAGCAUUGUGUAAUGAUCAAAUAUUUAUAGGAUAAAGAUGGGCAUGCGGAACAUUAGCUAGAUGGCGGGGUAACGGCCCACCAUGGCGACGAUGUUUAGGGGAUCUGAGAGGAUGGCCCCCCACACUGGUACUGAGACGCGGACCAGACUCCUACGGGAGGCAGCAGUAAGGAAUAUUGGUCAAUGGGCGGAAGCCUGAACCAGCCAUGCCGCGUGCAGGAAGACGGCCCUACGGGUUGUAAACUGCCUUUAUACGGGAAUAAACCCAGAUACGUGUAUCUGGCUGAAUGUACUGUAAGAAUAAGGAUCGGCUAACUCCGUG